rnacentral:rRNA from 1 species
AGAGAAGCUUGCUUCUCUUGAGAGCGGCGGACGGGUGAGUAAUGCCUAGGAAUCUGCCUGGUAGUGGGGGAUAACGUUCGGAAACGGACGCUAAUACCGCAUACGUCCUACGGGAGAAAGCAGGGGACCUUCGGGCCUUGCGCUAUCAGAUGAGCCUAGGUCGGAUUAGCUAGUUGGUGAGGUAAUGGCUCACCAAGGCGACGAUCCGUAACUGGUCUGAGAGGAUGAUCAGUCACACUGGAACUGAGACACGGUCCAGACUCCUACGGGAGGCAGCAGUGGGGAAUAUUGGACAAUGGGCGAAAGCCUGAUCCAGCCAUGCCGCGUGUGUGAAGAAGGUCUUCGGAUUGUAAAGCACUUUAAGUUGGGAGGAAGAGCAGUUACCUAAUACGUGAUUGUUUUGACGUUACCGACAGAAUAAGCACCGGCUAACUCUGUGCCAGCAGCCGCGGUAAUACAGAGGGUGCAAGCGUUAAUCGGAAUUACUGGGCGUAAAGCGCGCGUAGG